GUACGGUACACGACCCUGCUGUCAGAGGAGAAGUCAGAGGACAGUUGAUAAGACACGUAGAAGACUUCAUACUGAAGAAGAAGCAAACAACAAAAAUACAACAUACCAACGAGUUGUGAGUGAGAAACUUAGCGCCCAGAUAAUAAUCUACAAAGAAGACGUCGCUUUGUAAAUGUGAAAAUGAUUUGGAUCUACAUGAUCAUCUCAUCUCUGGCAACGGCAGCUCUUUCAAAAGGUUCUGUAGAAUGCAACUUAACUAAACCUACUAUAACAACCAAACAGUGUUUUGGAAAACUUGGAGAGCCGCUGAUGUUUCACCUACCAACUUCAACUACAAAAAUGAGUUUGAAAAAGAAUAGUGAUAUGAUUUUUAGGUUAGUCAAUAAUACAGACCUAACAGACACCAAUAGCAAAAAGGACAAAAGAAUGUCAUUUCUCAACAAUGGAACACUGAAGCUCAAUGAGGCAUCAAAGGAAGAUUCUGGAGAUUACCUGCUGGAAACAUUCAAUUCCACUACUGGUGAACUCCUGCAUAACAUGAACAUCCAUGUAGAAAUACAAGCUCCUGUGUCUAAACCAGCUGUGUCUCAGACAUGUUUGUCACCAGAACAGAUGAAGGUCAGCUGCUCCUCUGAGGGAGAUGGAGCAGAGAUCAUUUUAUCUUUGGAAAAUAACUUAUUGAUUCCCAGCGGAGCUACAGAAAAACACGAUGUUACCGUCACUUUAUACGGUCAGAUGACAGGAAACCUGAUGUGUGAUGUUCAAAACAACGUCAGCAGAGAACAAACAGUCAUCCAUCUCACAAAAUGUCAAGAUAAUAAAUUCAUUUUCCAGACAGAAAGUAUGUACCGUAUUUUCCUGACUCUUAGUCAUGUCAUCACGUAGUUUAGCUGGCCAUGCGACCUAUAUUCAGAAGCGACUUAUAUAUCAAAAAUAUAGCCUACGCUAUGACCACAAUCUUCAUCUUCCUCAUGUGAUGUUCUCCUGGCUGCGCUGUGA